UGCCAUUUUUAUUCAUCUCGCUUCUCUUUGUAUUCAGGAAGAGACAGACGGAGCACACCCAAUUGGAAGAAGAAUAUACCAAUCUCAGUUCUUGCGAAAUGGCUGAAGCUGCCACCAUACCUCUUCUCACUCCUUACAAAAUGGGGAAGUUCGAUCUAUCCCAUAGAGUAGUGUUGUCACCAUUAACCCGACAGAGAUCUUUUGGCAAUAUUCCUCAGCCGCAUGCUAUCUUAUACUAUACUCAGAGAACCUCCAAAGGCGGUCUUCUGAUAGCUGAAGGCACUGUAAUCUCCAGAACUGCUCUGGGGUAUCCGGACACACCUGGCAUAUGGACGGAAGAGCAGGUUGAAGCAUGGAAACCCAUUGUAGAUGCCGUUCAUGCCAAAGGUGGAGUCUUCUUUUGUCAACUUUGGCAUGUGGGGAGGGUCUCAAAUGAAGAAAUACAGCCAAAUGGACAACCUCCAGUUUCUUCUACUGACAAAGGUAUCAACGCCAAACCAACUCCAGCUGCUGGAUUUGGUCUCUCACACUACUCUCCUCCAAGGAGGCUAAGGACAGAUGAAAUUCCUCAAAUUGUCGAGGAGUUUAGGGUUGCCGCAAGGAAUGCUAUUAAAGCUGGAUUUGAUGGAGUUGAAAUCCAUGGGGCUAUGGUUACAUUCUUGAACAGUUUAUGAAAGACCAAGUGAAUGAUAGAACAGAUGAAUAUGGUGGAUCUCUUGAAAAUCGAUGUCGAUUAACUCUGGAAGUAGUCGAAGCUGUUGCCAAUGAGGUAGGAGCAGAUAAGGUUGGAAUAAGGCUUAGUCCUUUUGCAGACAAUAUGGAAUGUGGAGACUCAAAUCCACAAGCAUUGGGCCUUUACAUGGCUAAAUCCCUGAAUAAAUAUGGAAUUCUUUAUUUGCACAUGGUUGAGCCAAGGAGGGCUAGUGAUGAAGUAGAAACUGAAUCAUCUCCCAGUCUUCUGCCAAUGAGAAAGGCUUUCAAGGGUACUUUUCUUGUUAAUGGCGGUUUUGACAGGGAAUCAGGAAACCAGGCCAUUGCUGAAAAUCGUGCAGAUCUUGUUGUCUAUGGUCGUUUGUUUUUGGCCAAUCCAGAUUUGCCUCGAAGAUUUGAACUCAAUGCCCCUCUCAACAAGUAUAAUCGAGAAACAUUCUACAUCCCGGAGCCUGUUAUUGGUUAUACCGAUUAUCCUUUCCUUGAAGACACUCAUGCAUAGGUUUAUAAUGAAGAGAGGAGGGAGAUUUAGAGUAUCCGGAAUAACCCCUCCUUAGUAAUCCCUAUGUUUUAUCUUUGGUGUGGUUUCUUAUUGUAUUGUACAAGAGCGUUUGAUGGCAUGACUAUUCAUAAAUCUUGGGACUUUGCAAUUAAGGCGCAAUGGGUCAUGCACUUCUUGGUGUUUGAUCUCACAUGCAUGCCUUGCUACAAAUAAAUUGAGUUGUAAUUCUGCACUUGGUAUAUAUUUCAAGCCAUGAUUGUUUAGCAUUA